rnacentral:rRNA from 1 species
UUGGAGGCAGCAGUGGGGAAUCUUCCGCAAUGGGCGAAAGCCUGACGGAGCAACGCCGCGUGAGUGAUGGAGGUCUUCGGAUUGUAAAGCUCUGUCUUCAGUGACGAAAAUGACGGUAACUGAGGAGGAAGCCACGGCAAACUACGUGCCAGCAACCGCGGUAAUACGUAGGUGGCGAGCGUUGUCCGGAAUUACUGGGCGUAAAGCGCGCGUAGACGGCUUGAUAAGUCAGAUGUGAAAGACCCGGGCUCAACCUGGGGGUUGCAUCUGAGACUGUUGAGCUUGAGUGCAGGAGAGGCAAGUGGAAUUCCCAGUGUAGCAGUGAAAUGCGUAGAGAUUGGGAGGAACACCAGUGGCGAAGGCGACUUGCUGGACUGUAACUGACGUUGAGGUGCGAAAGCUAGGGGAGCAAACGGGAUUAGAUACCCCUGUAGUCCC